AGCAGUAUGGUGUAACGACGCACACGAGAUUUUCUUACACGUUUGAAGAUGAGAAUUAUAUAUUCCCGAGGUCCUUGUUCGAAUCAAGGUACUGCUC